rnacentral:rRNA from 1 species
AUGCAAGUCGAACGAGAAAGUGGAGCAAUCCAUGAGUAAAGUGGCGCACGGGUGAGUAACACGUGACUAACCUACCCUUGAGUGGGGAAUAACUUCGGGAAACCGAGGCUAAUACCGCAUAACACCUACGGGUCAAGGGAGCAAUUCGCUUAAGGAGGGGGUCGCGGCAGAUUAGUUAGUUGGCGGGGUAAUGGCCCACCAAGACAGUGAUCUGUAUCCGGCCUGAGAGGGCGCACGGACACACUGGAACUGAAACACGGUCCAGACUCCUACGGGAGGCAGCAGUGGGGAAUUUUGCGCAAUGGGGGAAACCCUGACGCAGCAACGCCGCGUGGAGGAUGAAGUCUCUUGGGACGUAAACUCCUUUCGAUCGGGACGAUAAUGACGGUACCGGAAGAAGAAGCCCCGGCUAACUUCGUGCCAGCAGCCGCGGUAAUACGAGGGGGGCGAGCGUUGUUCGGAAUUAUUGGGCGUAAAGGGUGCGUAGGCGGUUCGGUAAGUCUUGUGUGAAAUCUUCGGGCUCAACUCGAAGUCUGCACGAGAAACUGCCGGGCUUGAGUGUGGGAGAGGUGAGUGGAAUUUCCGGUGUAGCGGUGAAAUGCGUAGAUAUCGGA